UUCUCUCACUCACACCCCAGCAACCAUACUAGUUGGCCCUAAGCUUAAUAAAGCUGGAAAAUACAAAUAACUCAAUUCAUGCCCCCAACUCUGCCUUUUCUCUUCCUAUAUAUAACUCUUCUAGCAGCUGCCUCACAUGCAUCCGGGAAUCACUCUAACAAAAUGGAGCUGAGUUGUCCACAUCUUCCAGAGCUUUCUUGAAUCUCCAGAGUACACCAUCCAUAUACCUAUCAUUGUCCCACUUUGAAAUCUCAAUCAUAUUGGUCCAUAUUGGCUAGUUGUUAAGUUCUCAGUAUAUGGAUCGCGUAAUAGGACGAUGCACAAAGAAAUCUUCUCCUUCUGCUAUCACCUUUCCCUUGUUUUGAUUUUUUUCUUGUCGUGAUGAGCCUAUUUUGACUGUGAAUAAGAGCUUGUCAAAGGGAGCCCUUGAUCCGCAAGACUCUUUCAAAGAGAAAGCCUUUAAUCUCGUGAAUUUUAGAUAAUUGCUA
rnacentral:misc_RNA from 1 species